rnacentral:lncRNA from 1 species
GCAAAUAGAAAAGCAAUUUCUCCCUCGGUGGCAGGGUUUCUUUGAUCAAAGGGUUAUCCAGAAACUUGCUUUUCCAUGCAGUAAUGGCUGGAAAUCUUUUCGGGUCAAGAAAUUGAAUGGAUGCAAUUUCUUCCCAAAUUGGAAUAAGGUAAUUGAUCCAUCCAAUUGCAACUUCCAAAUACGCAUAUUUGUUCUCUCCUCCAAAGUAGCUUUUUCCUUUGAGUUCUCCCUCUAUCUUCUCCAAAACUUCCUUUGUUGCUUUCAGAGCAUCCUCUUUUUCCUCUCCUUUGGUCCACGUUGACUUCCAUGCAGUUUGCAUCAGCUAAAAAUAAAAAAUUAGGAGGCCAAACCAGUAUUUUAGUUCAGAGAGAACUUUAACAGAAAAACCACAAACUUGUAAUUGAAAAAAUCAAAUCGAAGUUUUAAUUGAAUUCAAAGUUGUAAAAACAUUAACACUCACCUUUUCAUCUGCAAAUUUAGCCCAAAAUCGAGCCAUGGCUCUUUCAUAAGGAUCUUGAGGCAGCAACGGAUCUUGUGGCCAUGUCUCAUCGAUGUACUCCAGAAUAACAAACGACUCAACUAUCACUUUGUCAUCAUGAACAAGCACAGGAACCUUUUUAUGAACUGGGUUCAGCUCAAGAAGCCUGGUGCUUUUGUUAAAGAUGUCUUCUUCAAUGUAUUCAAAUUCAACACCCUUUAGCUUCAAUGCCCAUACUACCCUAAACACAAAAGGACUACACCAAAACCCCAAAACCUUCACUUUUGUUGCCAUAAUCUUCUGCUAUUGUGAUUUGUGAAUGUGAGGUGAGAUCUAUCCACACACACACACUCACUUCUAGAUAAGUGGAAAACUAGAUUUUUAUAAUAAUUACAAGUUAGAAGACAAGAUAGACGGCAACUUUGACUGCUGUAGAUUAUUAUUAUUUUUUUUCGAUUGGUUACAUAUAAAUUAAAGAAUCCAACUUUUAUGCUACAUACACACGACCUUUAAUGUAAAUGGAAUUUUUCUCGAGAAUGCGACACUUCUUGAGAGGCAAGGCAUGACUUAAUUAACCUGCGUGUGUGUUUUUGCCGUUGACGGUGUUGAGUGUUGUGAGGACAGGCAAGGCAUGACUUAAUUAACCUGCGUGUGUGUUUUUGCCAUUGACGGUGUUGAGUUCUGUGAGGACAUUUGGAAUUUCAAAAGUCUAGUUUCUAAUUUUUAUUUUUUUUUCAUUUCAAUGUUUUAUAUGCAACAAUAUCCUAUGUAGAGAUGACUGAUGAGAACUUCUCCCCUUUUUUAAUUUAAAAAUAGUUCCUUGUUAAAAUAUUUUUCUAACACUAUUUUAUAAAAGAAUUUAAUUUUUAGAGGUGGAUAUGGGUUGAAUUGGAUUCAGUUUAUAAAAAUCCAACUCAAUCCAUUGUUAAUUGGGUUGAGAAGAAUUAAUAAAUUAAACAAAUAAACAUGUCAAAUCCAACCCACUCCAACCCUUAAAUCAUCGGCAAUGGUUUGGUUGGGUUGGGUUGGGUUGAGUUGAUCUUGAUCAAAAUUAAAAAUACAAAAAAUUUAAAUAUAAAAGUUUAAAAAAUGAUUUGGAAUUUAAAAUUAAAUUCAAAUAGUAAAAAAGCACAUAAUUCCCCAUCAUAAAAUUAAAUAUUUUCCAUUGUAACCAACAUCUAACGAUAAAUAACACGAUGUUCUUUUCUUUUUAAAUGUUUUUAGAGUUUUUUUUAAAAAAAAUAGAUUUCAUAAGUUUUAUACGAUGGAUGGUUGAAAAAAAAAUUAUAAUAAAAAUAAAAUUGGGAUUAUUUGAGAUAUUGUAAGGGAUAAAAAUUAAUUUCAAAUUUUUAAUGAAUUUAACUAAAAAGUGGGGACUAGUUAGAUAAAAUAAAAGAGUCAAUUAUCACCACUUAAUAAAUUGACCGAAUCAACCCAUUAUAACCCAAUCAAUCUAUAUUAAUUUAACUAGAUUGAGUUAGAUUAAUUUGGGCCUUAGUAAACCCAUAGAAUUUUCUUGUCUAAAUUGAGCCUGCAGUAUGAUGAUUUGGGUGGUGGUACAGUAAUGCAGGCCCCAAGAUAUGGUCAAGGGCUCAAAGCUAUCCUGUCUCAUGAUGCUUGCAGCUCCUUCUGGUAGUAUUAAGUCUUCAAGCUAUUAUUAUUUUUGCUUGAUUUUCUUUAGAGAGUUGUUAUUAUUAUUAUUUGUUAAAAUUUAAAUGAUGUCAUCCACUAAACUAUUUUAUAAACCCAUCUUUUCAAAAGAUCUAUUAUUAAAUAUAUAUAAAAAAACAACUUUUUUUAGCUAUACACCCACUAGGAUGCCUAAUGCAACCUCUGUCCCUUAACUAAAAUUUACUACUCCCAUUAUUUUACUAAAUAAACUCAUCUUUGAAACCAUUUAUACAACCGUUAUUUGCAAAAUUCUGAUAAAAAGAGAGAAGCUUCCUAGUUCUUUGUAGGCUUCCAAAUUUAUGAAGACAUAACAGGCAGUUCUUGCAUAUUAUAGAACAUAGGCCUAAUCAUAGGAUAUCAUCUUAUUCUUUCUAAAUAUUUGAUUUAAAGAUGAAAUAUACAUUACACACAACAUUGCAACUUUAAUUCUCCGAUGCACAAAAGUCGGCAUAAUCUCUUCUACUCGCUUGUGAAAAUAGGCAAGCGUCUUGUCCCUGGGUGGCAAGUUUUCUUUGAUGACAGGGUGUUUCAGAAACUUGGUGCUCCAUUCAGCAAUGGCCGAGAAUUUCUAAGUGUAACAACAACAUUAAUAGUCCAACAUAAAUUCAUAAUUGAUUACAUCACAAUAUCUUGUGAUAUAUACCUUACUGCAGAUCUGUUUGAUUUUUCAUUAUUUUUAAGUGUCUUUUCUAAUAGGCAUAGGCUUUGAAAAUGGUUAAUUUGUUAAGAGUAAGGCUCGCUUAGAUCCUUCUCGAACUAGCUGCUAGUUGUAUUCUUUGCAAUUCUUUUAUUUUAAUAAAUUUAUCAUUCUGUGGGUAUUAAGAUAUUAUACAUACAACAGGAGAUAUUCGUUAUUUCUAAAAACUUAAAAUUUUUAAAAAUGAGUGAUGCUAUAUUUAUUUAGUUGGAAUAUUUUGUUUAUAUUUCAAUUUAUGUGAAAUGAUAAAACUUAAUAACUAACUAGCACUUAAGUUAAUCAAAUAAUGUCACAGCAAUUGGAAUAUAAACUAGUUAUCCUAACUAAACUAGUAUAAUAUUAUUGUUUUUAGCAACACAAUGUUAGUUGAAUAUAAAAAAUGAAUGUUCUAUACAUACCUCCGAAUAAUUGAUGUAUAUAUUUGAUAUUUUUAACUCAUCUUAUAUUGGGUUCGUCUAUCUUAUAAAAACUUACUAUCAUUGUAACAUACAAUUAUUGUAAGGUAAUUUUUUUUUUCAUCUUAUUUUAUAGCUUGUAAAUCUAAAAUCUUUAAGAGUCUGUUUAUAGAAUUUCUCCUAAUUAUAUGAAGUUAACAAAAAUGAUAAGAACUAAUGUAUGAUACCCUUUUGGAAACAAUUAAUUUGCCCAAUAAUUAUACUAGCAACAAAAAUUCGAAUAGAAAAUAAGUUUAAUUAAUGCUCAGGGGCGCCAAAUGCUCUUCCCAUUAUAGUAUAUUGAUGAAAUGUUUUUCUUGUUUAAUUUAAUUUAAAUAAAACAAAUUUUCAUUACAUUGGAGGAUCUCCACUUAAUUGCAAUUGAAUAUUGGGUUAAAGGCAAUAUUCCUCAAGAUCUAAAUGAGUUUUUUAACAUGAAUUAAACUCAUAGAUUUCAAUAUGUUAUAAUGGACAAAUUCACCUAUGAGUGGAUCCAAAUUAUCUUUCUAUGUGAUAAGGAUCUAACAAAAAAAAAAUAAAUUGAUGUGCACAUAACAGAAGUUAAUUAAGGAAAAAUCCUACAUUAAUAUGGGAUGAACUUUAGGCCAUGUUUAUAAGAUUGAAGCUAAUCUUCAACUCUUUUUUUUUUUUAAUAUUAAUCACGAGGUAUCCUGGGGAGGGCCCCAACUGUGGGAGGCACCUUUAAGCCAGUACCACAAUCCAGACUAGAAGUCCCCGCUCGAACCGGGAGGCACAAGUUCUCCCAACAAAGGCGACUUCCCUGCGACUCGAACUGGGGAGCAAACCCAGUCAAGCCACUUAAGGGGACUCAAUUGCCAGUGGAGCCAACACUUUGUUGGUUUAAUCUUCAACUCUUUAACUCUUGAUCUAGCUACAAAUUCCAUAUAUCUGAAAAAAUAGUUCCAUGAAAGUAAUGUAUAAUUUUUGUCCCGCCAAAGCAUAAUAAAUAGGUCAUACCUCUUCUUUAUUUUCUCAACACAGAUUCAACUUGACCCAAAGUACUUAUAAAAAUAAUAAUAACAAUAAUAAUAAAAAACAACGAAAUCAUACAGAGCGAAUAAAAAAGAGACACGUGCAGAGAUGAUAAUUCGAUUAAUUAAUUAAUUUUCAAGUUUGGUCUCCGCCAGUUCACGGAUUGUAGCGUCAAUCUCCCAAUGUUUGACGCGCUCGUGAAAAUAGAUAAGCAAUUUCUCCCUUGGUGGCAGGGUUUCUUUGAUCAAAGGGUUAUCCAGAAACUUGCUUUUCCAUGCAGUAAUGGCUGGAAAUCUUUUCGGGUCAAGAAAUUGAAUGGAUGCAAUUUCUUCCCAAAUUGGUAUAAGGUAAUUGAUCCAUCCAAUUGCAACUUCCAAAUACGCAUAUUUGUUCUCUCCUCCAAAGUAGCUUUUUCCUUUGAGUUCUCCCUCUAUCUUCUCCAAAGCUUCCAUUGUUGCUUUCAGAGCAUCCUCUUUUUCCUCUCCUUUGGUCCACGUUGACUUCCAUACAGUUUGCAUCAGCUAAAAAUAAAAAAUUAGGAGGCCAAACCAGUAUUUUAGUUCAGAGAGAACUUUAACAGAAAAACCACAAACUUGUAAUUGAAAAAAUCAAAUCGAAGUUUUAAUUGAAUUCAAAGUUGUAAAAACAUUAACACUCACCUUUUCAUCUGCAAAUUUAGCCCAAAAUCGAGCCAUGGCUCUUUCAUAAGGAUCUUGAGGCAGCAACGGAUCUUGUGGCCAUGUCUCAUCGAUGUACUCCAGAAUAACAAACGACUCAACUAUCACUUUGUCAUCAUGAACAAGCACAGGAACCUUUUUAUGAACUGGGUUCAGCUCAAGAAGCCUGGUGCUUUUGUUAAAGAUGUCUUCUUCAAUGUAUUCAAAUUCAACACCCUUUAGCUUCAAUGCCCAUACUACCCUAAACACAAAAGGACUACACCAAACCCCCAAAACCUUCACUUUUGUUGCCAUAAUCUUCUGCUAUUGUGAUUUGUGAAUGUGAGGUGAGAUCUAUCCACACACACACACUCACUUCUAGAUAAGUGGAAAACUAGAUUUUUAUAAUAAUUACAAGUUAGAAGACAAGAUAGACGGCAACUUUGACUGCUGUAGAUUAUUAUUAUUUUUUUUCGAUUGGUUACAUAUAAAUUAAAGAAUCCAACUUUUAUGCUACAUACACACGACCUUUAAUGUAAAUGGAAUUUUUCUCGAGAAUGCGACACUUCUUGAGAGGCAAGGCAUGACUUAAUUAACCUGCGUGUGUGUUUUUGCCAUUGACGGUGUUGAGUUCUGUGAGGACAUUUGGAAUUUCAAAAGUCUAGUUUCUAAUUUUUAUUUUUUUUUCAUUUCAAUGUUUUAUAUGCAACAAUAUCCUAUGUAGAGAUGACUGAUGAGAACUUCUCCCCUUUUUUAAUUUAAAAAUAGUUCCUUGUUAAAAUAUUUUUCUAACACUAUUUUAUAAAAGAAUUUAAUUUUUAGAGGUGGAUAUGGGUUGAAUUGGAUUCAGUUUAUAAAAAUCCAACUCAAUCCAUUGUUAAUUGGGUUGAGAAGAAUUAAUAAAUUAAACAAAUAAACAUGUCAAAUCCAACCCACUCCAACCCUUAAAUCAUCGGCAAUGGUUUGGGAAUUUCUGAGAAUCAAGAAUUCGCAUGGAUCCAUCAGCUUCUUCCCAAACAGGAAGCCAGUAACUGAUCCAUCCAAUUGCAAGGUCCAAAUAACCAAUGCUAUUUCCUCCGAUGAAGUUCUUUCCUCUGAGUUCUUCUAUCUUUUCCAAGGAUUCUAUUGCUUCUUUCAUAGUCUUUUGUUUCUCCUCUCCUUUGCUCCACAUUGCCUUAUAUGCUGAUUCCAAAAGCUGACCAAACAAUUGCCGAGAUUAGUAAAUUGGAAUAUUUCAGUAGAAUAAAAAAUGAGUACUAUUGAUUCGUAAAUUUGCUGUUUGUAAGCAGGGGCGGAGACAGACUUGGAAGUGACCGAGGGUACGUAUAGUGUUCAUGUUUGAAGCAAUAGGGCCAAAUCAGAAAAACAAUUGAAAAGAAAAAAAGAAUUAGUACUAGAAUUGUCUAUAGAAAAUAUCAGUAUUAUAAUAUUGUCAAUAAGCAGUAAAUAAGUAUGUUGCCUUUGAGGGACAGUCCAAUUGGAGAAAUUGUUCAAGACAUCGAAGGUAAUAUAAUCAAUUUAUGCAUGUAUGAUAUGUAUAAUUAAAUUUAAUAUAACCACGACUUGCAUGAUGAUCUUUCAAAAUCAACAUACAUAUGUCAUAUCAUCAUUUGUUUGUUGUUUUUUUACUCUAAAAUAUACUUUGAAAGCUCUUUUACUCUACACACUGAUUGAUUUAAUUUAAAAAUAAAUAAAUUUUACUCAUCACCCUCUUACAAAUGCCAAAACAAUCCUUCAUUCCAGAAGUAAAUACUUAUUUUCUUUCUAAACCCAUAAAAUUUCAUCAUUCUGGUAUCGUUCUUGUUUACUAAAGCCAUAACUACAUUUUAAUUUAGGUACAGUGAAGAUUGAAAGGAUGUUUUAAUCACAAACCCAACUUUUGCCUUUAUAUAUGUUCUUCUAUAUGAGUGGUGCCUGCACAAUUUAUUAGUUUUGUUAACGUCCGUUAUUCAUUUUUUUUAGAAACAUUUUUUUUUUGUCUUGGAUUGAAUUCAUAUCAAUUUGUUGACGAUGAAGAAUAAAAUUUUUAAGAUGAAUUAGUAGUUGUAUGGUGUUUAGGAGUAACAAACACUAAUGUCCUCAUUGAUAAAUUUUUCAGGGUUGUUUUAAUAACGUAAAGUUUUAUUAAAUUAAGAGUGUCCAAAAUAUAAAUUAGAGUGCAAAUAAUCUCAUCUAAAUUGUAAACUUAUAUAAGGUCCGGCAAAACAUAAAAUUAACAUAGAUACUAAGGCCUUAUUUCGAAUUGAGGGUGGACAAUUGUACCUUAAAAGUUAUAACACUAAAGUGUUUAGUGAACACUAGGUGCUGUAGUUUGAAAGUUAAGUUGAUUUGAUUUUAUACUUCUAUAAUGAAAAAUCUAUUAUAUUUUUAAUAAUUUUGUCAAAAUUAUUAUUUAAAAAUUAUAUUUACUAUAUAAACUUUUAUUUUAUAAUUAUAAUUUUUUUAAAAAACAGCUGUUAUUUAAAAGUUACAACACCUCAAUACCAAACAGAGUUUGAUAUUUGGUAAAAUUUUCAUUAAAAUUUUGCUAUAUGUAUACCUCUCAACUAUCAAUUAAGUUGAAACCCCAAUUACUUCUGAAUUGACUCCAAUAUAUGCAAAUUAAAGAUUGCUUGGUGUUAUUAGAAAUAUAUAAUCAAAUGAAAUCGAAAUUUUGUAAACUUCCCUCGUACCACCAAAGUUUGUGAAAAAGAAAUGAAAAAAUCAAAUCGAAGUUCCAGUUGAAUUCAAAAUUGUAUAAAUCGUUUAAUCGCAAGAGUGAAAACGAUUAACGCUCACCUUUUCAUAUGCAAAUUUAGCCCAAAAUCGAGCCAUGGCCGUUUCAUAAGGAUCUUGAGGUAACAAAGGAUCAUGUUGCCAUGUCACAUCGAUGUACUCCAGAAUAACAAACGAGUCAACUAUCACUUUGUCAUCGUGAACAAGCACAGGAACUUUUUUAUGAACUGGGUUCAGUUCAAGAAGCCUGGUGCUUUUGUUAAAGAUAUCCUCUUCAAUGUUUUCAAAUUCAACACCCUUUAGCUUCAGUGCCCAUACUACUCUAAACACAGGAGGACUAGACCAAAACCCUAAAAGCUUUACUUUAGUUGCCAUAAUUUUUUUUUUCUUCUGCUAUUGUGAAUGUGAGAUGAUAUUUCUAUGGAUUUAUAGACAAACCAAAACUAGUUUUUUAUAAUAGUUACAAGACAAGAUAGACAGCAACUUUGACUGUAUAGAUUAGUUUUAUUUUUUUGAGUUGUUACUUAGAAAAGAUUACAACUAAUUGUUAGAAAAAUGUUAUAUACAUGGUCCACCAAACUACCUCAUAAUCAGGGGCAGAUACAGUGCAGGACCACUGGGGGCUCAAGCUCUCACUGAAAAAAAAAUCUUUUUUCGUUUAAAAAAAAAUUUAAAUUUAAAAUAGCCCCUGUAAAAAUUAUUAGAUAACCUCAUUCUUUAAAAUUUAAACUAUUAUUUUAAUAAUUAUAAAGUAAUAAUUUUACUUAAAAAAAUAAAGCCCACAGCCCAAAAUAUUUAUAAUCCCAAAAUUAAACCGUGAGUGCCAAACUUGUAAUUAGGGAUUGUCUUGAAGAAAAGAGGAAGUUGCAGGCAUCAGUUCUGUUCUUUAUUCUCAUAAUCGCAAUGAAAAAAACGAAAGGAGAAGGAGCCAGGAGGGGGGUGAUUUAUUAAUUGUUGUGGGCUUUGAGUGGGUGGGACGUGGGACCGACUUGCCUUUACGUCAAUUUUGCAUAGAUAAACAUGUUCUUUUUGGUUUUUUUUUUCAAAUUAAGUUAAGAAUUUUGUAUUUUAUUUUUUGUUCACAUGUCAACACAUCUUUAUAUAAAUUGUAAUUGUUCAAGUGACUAAUUCUAGUCUUUACAAUUUCUUUUUUUAGUGAUUUUGUUUAUAACUAUUAGUAAAUUAAUUUUUUCAAUUGUAAUUAAUUUAUUUUUACAUAAGUACUCAUAUAUAUAAUUUUGAGCAAUGAAAUUUGUGAAGAAUGAACUUCGGAAUCGGAUGGGAGAUGAAUGGAUGAAUGAUAAUUUGAUUGUUUGUGUAGAAAAAAUAUGUAUUUAAUAGUAUUGAUAAUAAGUCUAUUACAUAAUGUUUUCAGAAUAUGAAAUCGUGUAGAGAACAAUUGUAAGUGGGUUACCAAAAAUUUUAUAUAUUUAAGUUUCAAUUUUUACAUUUUGCUGUUAUUUAAUUUAACCCCCAAUAAAUUAUUUUUUUAAAUCUGCCACUGCCCAUAAUCUCUUUUUUUUUUUUAACGAAUAACUCGCGUAUCUAGACAAGAUAGACCGCAACUUUGACUCUAAAUAAACUCAUCAUUUUACUAAAUAAAAUUCAUCAGUUAAACCAUUUAUACAACCAUCAUCAGGCAUCAAAGACCUCACAUGAGUUGCAAAAUUCUGACAAAAGGAAAGACGCUUCUAAUUAUUUGUAGGCUUCCAAAUUUAUGGAGACAUAGUAGGCAGUUCUUGCAUAUUACAGAAUCGAGGCCUAAUCGCAGGAGAUCAGCUUAUUCUUUCUAAUUAUUUGUUUAAAGAUGAAAUAUAUAGUACACACAACAUCACAACUUCAAUUCUCCGAUGCACAAAAGUUAGCAUAUAUUUCUUCUGCUCGCUUGUGACAAUAGGCAAGCGUCCUGUCCCUGGGUGGCAAGUUUUCUUUGAUGACAGGGUGUUUCAGAAACUUGGCGCUCCAUUCAGCAAUGGCUGGGAAUUUCUGAGAGUCAAGAAUUCGCAUGGAUCCACCAGCUUCUUCCCAAACAGGAAUCCAGUAACCGAUCCAUCCAAUUGCAAGGUCCAAAUAACCAAUGCUAUUUCCUCCCAUGAAGUUCUUUCCUCCGAGUACUUCUUCUAUCUUUUCCAAGGAUUCUACUGCUUCUUUCAUAGCCUUUUGUUUCUCCUCUCCUUUGCUCCACAUUGCCUUAUAUGCUGAUUCCAAAAGCUGAUCAAACAAUUGAAAAGAUUAAUAAAUCGGAAUAUUUCAGUAGAAUAAAACAUGAGUAUUGGGCUGAGACAGAAUUGAAACUAUUCGAGGGUAAAGUGUUAGAUGUUUAAACUAACAGGGGACAAAAUCAGAAAAACAAUUGAUAUAAAGAAUUAUAUAUUAGUUCUGGAACUGUGAUAAAAAUAAGCAGUAAAUAAGUUGCCUUUAAGGGACAGUCCAAUUACUGCAACCGGAAUUUCAGUUCGAUAUAUUAGUGACGGAAAAAUUGCAAAAUUUGGAGAGGUUGCAAACAUAAAAACUAUAAGGGUGAGGUGACUCUAAAAUUAAUUUUGAACACUCUUUUACUCUACAUAUUCAUUCGUUUGACUUGAAAAUAUAAAAUUUAUUUAGUAUAGUUUUGCAAAUGCCGAAACAGCUCUUUUAUUAAGUGUACGUUUAGUAUGACUUAUAUAAUGACUAUAAAUAUUUAUUUAAUUUCAUAAACUUUUUUUAAAUUUUUUAUUGUUGUUUAGUGUUUUUUGAAUAGAGUUUUGUACAUUAAAUAAACUAUUUUGCCUCUAAUAGAAAAAGUUUAAAUUUUGAGAUUUUAAGAGCUGAAAAGCUUUUUUAAAAUAUAAAAAUAUCUAAAAUAUUCUUUUCUUAUUUGACAAUUUUAUUUAAUUCAUUUCAUAACAUAACUUUUAAAAAAAUUAUCUAUUAAAGUAAUUUUAUAAUUUUUAAUAAAAGUUUUUAUUGACAACCAAAUAACUACAAUUUUUCAAUAAAAACUUUACUUAUAAAAGUUUAAUAACAAAAGCUCUACUAAGCUCUACUUAAAUAAGUUAUGUUCAAAAGUCUAUACCAAAAAACGUCUAAAAUUGUUCUUUUAAUAAUAUCAUUUUCUUUUUAAACCCAUAAAAUUUCAUCAUUAUGUUAUAUCCAUCAUUUUUGUUUACCAAUGCGAUUAAUAUGUUUCGAUUUAGAUAAAGUGACAAAUCCAACUUUUGCUUUGAUAUUCUUCCAUGCGUUUUGAUUUAGUUAAAGUGACAAAUCCAAAGAAUAUAUAUUUUUUUUUAUUCUUCUAAAUAAACAAUUUCAAAAAAACAAAAUUAGUAAUAGAGUUGUACAUAUUUCUAUAAAAAAAAUUAGUAAUAUCAGUCAGUAAACAAUAAUAAAGCUUUCUUUAAGGGACAAUCCAAAAUUAGUGGCGGAACCAAUCUUUUAAAUUGGACUUCGAGAGAACUUUAAUUCAAAAAAAAAAAAUCACAAGUUUGUUUUGAAAAAUUCAAAUCGAUGUUCUAAUUGAAUUCAAAGUUGUAUAAACUUUAACAGUCACCUUUUCAUCUCCAAAUUUAGCCCAAAAUCGAGCCAUGGCUUUUUCGUAAGGAUCUUGAGGCAGCAACGGAUCUUGUGGCCACGUCUCAUCGAUGUACUCCAGAAUAACAAACGACUCAACUAUCACUCUCUUGUCAUGAACCAGCACAGGAACCUUUUUAUGAACCGGGUUCAAUUCAAGAAGCUCGGUGCUUUUGUUAAAGAUAUCUUCUUCAAUGUAUUCAAAUUCAAC